UCGCGUAGGAGCUGGAAUAAGCCGCCAUGUCCCAGGUCUACAGAGCCUGAUAUACAGCAGCAUGUAUGAUGACUUACCAAUUGGAGAAUCCCAAAAUACGACAUUAAAUAUCCGGCGGUAGCGGCAGUAAGGCCAAAGAAGUCAGUCGAGACAAUGGGAAACAUAAUCAUGAAAAGACCUGAAGGGACACAAAGGAGCAGGGAAUAGAAUUAUUUGGCUUGUAAAUGCAACAUGUGAACACAGCUUCAAGGGAGAGCACCCCAAAAAAGAAUCUUCAUUACCUAUUGGAAACCCGGAAAGAACUUUUACUAUAAAAAUCACCAUGACGCCCGGAAACCGUAAGAGCCGGACAAGUUCUCCGAAGUUAAAGACGCUGUUUUUCCCUGGAAGAUAUUAAGAGGAAUCAGAAGAAAAUGCGAUGGUGUUGGCCGCAGAAUAAUACGCCCUCUCAUGUGCAGAAGGCACCAUCAACAAUAGUGGACUGUUGCGGCUAAAUAAAGCAUCACAGCAAGU